rnacentral:rRNA from 1 species
GACGAACCGAGCGAACGUUGUUCGGAAUCACUGGGCUUAAAGGGCGUGUAGGCGGGUGCUCAAGUCUGUGGUGAAAUCCUCCGGCUCAACCGGAGAACUGCCAUGGAUACUGGGUGCCUCGAGGGUGGUAGGGGUAUGCGGAACUAUCGGUGGAGCGGUGAAAUGCGUUGAUAUCGAUAGGAACUCCGGUGGCGAAGGCGGCAUACUGGACCACUUCUGACGCUGAGGCGCGAAAGCCAGGGGAGCAAACGGG